rnacentral:rRNA from 1 species
GACGAACGCUGGCGGCGUGCUUAACACAUGCAAGUCGAACGGAAAGGCCCUGCUUUUGUGGGGUGCUCGAGUGGCGAACGGGUGAGUAACACGUGAGUAACCUGCCCUUGACUUUGGGAUAACUUCAGGAAACUGGGGCUAAUACCGGAUAGGAGCUCCUGCUGCAUGGAGGGGGUUGGAAAGUUUCGGCGGUUGGGGAUGGACUCGCGGCUUAUCAGCUUGUUGGUGGGGUAGUGGCUUACCAAGGCUUUGACGGGUAGCCGGCCUGGGAGGGUGACCGGCCACAUUGGGACUGGGAUGCGGCCCAGACUCCUACGGGAGGCAGCAGUGGGGAAUAUUGCACAAUGGGCGGAAGCCUGAUGCAGCAACGCCGCGUGCGGGAUGACGGCCUUCGGGUUGUAAACCGCUUUCGCCUGUGACGAAGCGUGAGUGACGGUAAUGGGUAAAGAAGCACCGGCUAACUACGUG